rnacentral:tmRNA from 1 species
GGGGGUGACCGGCUUUUGACGGGAGGAUUAGGAGAGGAAAAGUUGCGAUUUCGGGGUUUGAUUUCUAUCCCCGAUAGAUCCAUAGAAAUCACCAUAAGUGCAACUGCACAAAACCCUGCUCGCUCUGGUAAAAUCGCAGGACUUGUAAACAAUGCCUUUGGCAACCUGUUUGCACCAAAAGCCCUCGCUUUUGCGUAAGAGUUUGAGCAUGUGACCGCCCACAUAUGCGGUUCCGUCUUUCUUAAACCCGCUUAGGGGGCUAAGAACAGGCGUCAUUAAAUCUAAGACGAAUUUUUCUUGUUUGUGAUGUUUUUGGAGAAACGUUCGUACCACAAAAAUAUUCCGCCUGCUAAGUUUUUGUUCUGUUUUUAUUUAGUGGCGGUAAACAAAUGGAACUAUAAUUGUAGACGCUUUUCGUUUCCCCUUACCGGACGGGGGUUCAAUUCCCCCCACCUCCACCA